rnacentral:lncRNA from 1 species
CUCCUCGUACAGGAAGUAGAAGAUGUUUUGUUUGGGGGCCUCAUCGUCCUCCUCCAUGUCAUUGGCCAGAUAGCUGAGGACAGAAAUCAGGUUGCUGCUCAGGGGCACCACCAGGAGAGACCUCCGGCUGAGGUCAGCUUCUCAGAGAGGAAGGUAAGGGACCGUCCCUAGCUCAGGACUGGCACCCACCCUGCAGAGAGCCAUGCCUUCCUCAGGAGGGCUCUGCUGGACAGAGACCUGAUCAAGGGCGUCUCCCACUCCUUCAGGAUGGAGACAAAAACCCAACUGGUGACCAAGAGUGGUGGCUUAUGCCUGGAAUCCCAGCACACUGGGAGGCCGAAGCAGGAGGAUCACUUGAGGCCAGGAGUUUGAGACAGGCCUGGGCAACAUAGCAAGACCCUCGUCUCUAUUAAAAAUAUAAAAAAUACACCAGACGCGGUGGCUCAUGCCUGUAAUCCCAGCGCUUUGGAAGGCUGAAGCAGGUGGAUUGCUUGAGACCAGGAGUUUGAGACCAGCCUGGUCAACACAGAGAAACCCCAUCUAUACUAAAAAUACAAAAAUCAGCCUGGUGCGGUGGCACACCCAUUAGUCCUAGCUACUCAAGAGGCUGAAGCAUAAGAAUUGUGUGAACCCAGGAGGCGGAGGUUGCAGUGAGCCAAGAUUGGGCCCCUCCAUUCCAGCCUGAGAGACACAGCAACACUCUUGUCUUGAUAAAUAAAUAAAUAAAUAAAUAAAUAAAUAAAUAAAUAACUGUCCAGGUGUGGUGGUACAGCCCUGUAGUCGGAGCUAAUCAAGAGGCUGAGGUGGGAGGAUCGCUUGAGCCCAGGAUAUGGAGGCUGCGGUGAGCUAUGAUCUCACCACUGCACUCCAGCUUAGGGGACAGGGCAAGUCUGUCUCAAAAAAAAAAAAAAAUAAAUGAAAGGCUGGAAUCCCACUUCCCCCGCUGUCCCAGG